AGAAGCGACAAACGCAUUGUCAUGGUAUAUUCAAAACUAAUCAUAAUCAGGGACACAAUGUCUUCAACAAAAGCAACCCAAUUGCGAUGCUCAUACUUCCAUUUUCCCGCUUAAUCCAAAUUACUCCCUUGCUAUGACGCAUCAAUUCCCCAUCUAGUAAAGGGAGGAGGCCAAGAAUCUCUGUUAUUGGGGCAUACAGGAUCAUAGAAGGGUUCAAUACGGAUGGAGUCAGCGUCACCAAGCCAAUUCUGGUAGACGAACCCAUCGGACCUUACAAGUGGCAAGCUCUGGGCAUGCGGGUUCCAGAGAGACCCACUGAUAAGAAAGAAAAAGAAGAACAACAAUAUGAGAGCGGCGAGUAGUGCGCUUGAGU
rnacentral:misc_RNA from 1 species